CCGACGGAUCCGUGUUGCACUCCGUCCGAUAAGCAGUCAGCACCAGGGGAAGCCGGUCGAAUUCCGGCACUGACCCGCAACCGUAGGCCCGGAUCGUCCCGGGUGAGUCGGAAUGCCUGGAGCUGGAUCUCCGUACGA
rnacentral:ncRNA from 2 species